rnacentral:rRNA from 1 species
UCAAACCUACGGGAGGCAGCAGUAGGGAAUUUUCGUCAAUGGGCGCAAGCCUGAACGAGCAAUGCCGCGUGAACGAGGAAGGUCUUCGGAUCGUAAAGUUCUGUUGAAGGGGAAAAAGAGCGGAGAGAGGAAAUGGUCUCCGAUUGAUAUUACCCUUCGAGGAAGUCACGGCUAACUACGUGCCAGCAGCCGCGGUAAUACGUAGGUGGCGAGCGUUAUCCGGAUUUAUUGGGUGUAAAGGGCGUGUAGGCGGGAAUGCAAGUCAGAUGUGAAAACUAUGGGCUCAACCCAUAGCCUGCAUUUGA